UACAGAGGGUGCGAGCGUUAAUCGGAAUUACUGGGCGUAAAGCGUGCGUAGACGGUUUUUUAAGUCGGAUGUGAAAGCCCCGGGCUCAACCUGGGAAUUGCAUUCGAGACUGAAUAGCUAGGGUGCGGUAGAGGGAAGCGGAAUUCCCGGUGUAGCGGUGAAAUGCGUAGAUAUCGGAAGGAACAUCAGUGGCGAAAGCGGCUUCCUGGACCAGCACUGACGUUCAGGCACGAAAGCGUGGGGAGCAAACAGG
rnacentral:rRNA from 1 species